rnacentral:tmRNA from 1 species
GGGGGCGACCGGUUUCGACGGGGAUACUGAGGUCACUGUCGCAUGUCGAGCUCUCGGGAACUCGUAAAAGUCCGAGAAAAACGCAACUGCCAAUCAAGAACUGGCACUCGCAGCCUAAUUUAGGCUGAGACGUCGUUCCACCUGAGGCCCGCGGGGGUGGAAUGGCGUGAUGCAGCGGGCUGGUCCAAAGCCGGUGCUCAGCGGCUGUGGACGAGAACUUUCUGGGCUAGUGGCUGUUCUAAGCCUGCCGAUGGGCGUGGAUGGCUGCGAACCUUAAAUUAUCGGCUACACAUGUAGACACAGUGCACUGACGAUCUUCGGACAGGGGUUCAACUCCCCUCGCCUCCACCA